AUUGAACGCUGGCGGCAGGCCUAACACAUGCAAGUCGAGCGGUAGAGAGAAGCUUGCUUCUCUUGAGAGCGGCGGACGGGUGAGUAAUGCCUAGGAAUCUGCCUGGUAGUGGGGGAUAACGUUCGGAAACGGACGCUAAUACCGCAUACGUCCUACGGGAGAAAGCAGGGGACCUUCGGGCCUUGCGCUAUCAGAUGAGCCUAGGUCGGAUUAGCUAGUUGGUGGGGUAAUGGCUCACCAAGGCGACGAUCCGUAACUGGUCUGAGAGGAUGAUCAGUCACACUGGAACUGAGACACGGUCCAGACUCCUACGGGAGGCAGCAGUGGGGAGUAUUGGACAAUGGGCGAAAGCCUGAUCCAGCCAUGCCGCGUGUGUGAAGAAGGUCUUCGGAUUGUAAAGCACUUUAAGUUGGGAGGAAGGGUUGUAGAUUAAUACUCUGCAAUUUUGACGUUACCGACAGAAUAAGCACCGGCUAACUCUGUG
rnacentral:rRNA from 1 species